rnacentral:rRNA from 1 species
UGGGGAAUUUUGGACAAUGGGGGAAACCCUGAUCCAGCCAUCCCGCGUGUGCGAUGAAGGCCUUCGGGUUGUAAAGCACUUUUGGCAGGAAAGAAACGUCGCGGGUUAAUACCCCGCGAAACUGACGGUACCUGCAGAAUAAGCACCGGCUAACUACGUGCCAGCAGCCGCGGUAAUACGUAGGGUGCAAGCGUUAAUCGGAAUUACUGGGCGUAAAGCGUGCGCAGGCGGUUCGGAAAGAAAGAUGUGAAAUCCCAGAGCUUAACUUUGGAACUGCAUUUUUAACUACCGGGCUAGAGUGUGUCAGAGGGAGGUGGAAUUCCCGCGUGUAGCAGUGAAAUGCGUAGAUAUGCGGAGGAACACCGAUGGCGAAGGCAGCCUCCUGGGAUAACACUGACGCUCAUGCACGAAAGCGUGGGGAGCAAAC